UCUUUGAUAAUCCUCUCCUUUAUGAUUAUCACUCAUAAUCUUUCAUUCUUCUUUACAAAAUCAAUACUGCCUUAAAUUAUAACUCACAUAUUUGUAAUCCUAAAACUGGUUCUUUUCACGUUCUCAUUCAACUUAUAAUUCCAUCUCCUAUACAAUCAAUUUCUAACAUUCCAUAUUGUUAUCAUUUCCUCAACAACAAUGCCAAAAUAUUGUUCUUGUUGUAUUCAAGCUUCAGUAUACUAAAACAAUUGAACUAAUACAAGUGGGUUUGAACAUGAGGAAAGAAUAGUUAUAUGAAUUGGAUCUAUUAGUGUCACAAUCGACUGUACUAUAGCUAUCUAAAAUCAAUUAUCAAACUACAAAAUACCAAGGCUUAUUACUUCCAUCUUUAUUCAACACAUAAUCCAUUCUAUGACUAUGAAUUCAACAAUACUUCUCUCAAUCACAAUUCUUCAUAAGCAAAUAAUAAAAGCAAAGAAAACAAAGAGGUAGCACCAAACUUACCUCAACUUACGACUCUCAUAAUCUGGCUCUC
rnacentral:lncRNA from 1 species